ACAGAUCAGCCAGCUGGAAAGCAAGUUCCAAGUUAAACAGCAUGCUGACAAACAGUGAAGAAAUAAAGUGAAGAUGACAACAAAAAUCCAUCCAACCCAUAUGGAAUGGAUUAUUGACUAAGCUCUCUCUGACAGAGCAAGUGGACAGAGUAAAAAUACAAUGGCAUUUUAUACUGAGUGAGAGUGUCGCUGCUUCAACCAAGUUUCCAUCCCCAACUUCUAAAACAGAAAGGAAAGGUGAUCGGACAUGAAGAACAGCAAUGACAGCUUCAGCCCGUCUCAACCAGAGACGACCCAUACCUGCCCAUAGUGGAGAGGCAGAGUGAGGACAGCGGCUUCAGCAGAUGUUACUAAGCAUGCUCAGUUCAUGGGAGCAUGCUCAGUAGAAGCCAAGCAGAAAAUCAUGCCCUCCUCAUGCACAUGAUGCCUCUGAUAUCAACUAACUUUUGCUCUUUUCCCCCCAAAAUACAGUUAUUACCAUCUUUAAUGCCAUGUAAAAUAGUGUCAAACAAGGGCUUUUUCCUUCUAAAAGCUCUCUCCAGCUAAAGGGAAAGAGAA